rnacentral:rRNA from 1 species
CUACGUGCCAGCAGCCGCGGUAAUACGUAGGGUGCGAGCGUUAAUCGGAAUUACUGGGCGUAAAGCGAGCGCAGACGGUUACUUAAGCAGGAUGUGAAAUCCCCGGGCUCAACCUGGGAACUGCGUUCUGAACUGGGUGACUAGAGUGUGUCAGAGGGAGGUAGAAUUCCACGUGUAGCAGUGAAAUGCGUAGAGAUGUGGAGGAGUACCGAUGGCGAAGGCAGCCUCCUGGGAUAACACUGACGUUCAUGCUCGAAAGCGUGGGUAGCAAACAGGAUUAGAUACCCUGGUAGUCCACGCCCUAAACGAUGUCAAUUAGCUGUUGGGCAACUUGAUUGCUUAGUAGCGUAGCUAACGCGUGAAAUUGACCGCCUGGGGAGUACGGUCGCAAGAUUAAAACUCAAAGGAAUUGACGGGGACCCGCACAAGCGGUGGAUGAUGUGGAUUAAUUCGAUGCAACGCGAAGAACCUUACCUGGUCUUGACAU